rnacentral:rRNA from 1 species
AUGCUGCCCCGCCACCUCCUACGCCUCUCCGCCGCCGUCUCCGGCGGCCUCCGCCGCUCCCUCGCCACCGCCGCCUCGCACCCGCCGUGGGCCGCGAUGUGCCACUCAGCGUGGACCGUCGGGGCGCCGGGCGCGCAGGUGCGCCUCGCCGAGCCGCCGCGCAUCUCCGAGGUGUACGUCCCGGAGCAGCUCCUCAAGACCGGCCCCCUCCCCGACCCCGACGGCGACUUCGUGCAAGGGCAUGGCGGCGCCGUCUGCGCCGCGAGCGCCGACGGCCUCCUCCUCCUCGUCUACGCGGAGACGCGCCUGUUUGCCCGCAUCGUCGCCAGGCAGGGCGGCCGCCCGCUGCGGCUGCCACCCCAAACCGACGCGCUCAAGAGCAUCGACCCCGACCACGUCCCCAGCGUCACGCGCUUCGUCCUCAACCCUCUCACGCGCCAGAUGACCCGCCUCCCGGACCGCGUGACCAAGUUCGAGGUCUCCCCGCUUUUCAACCUCCGCAUGGGCCUCCUCACCCAGGCCGAUCGCGGCCACGGCCCGCCUGACAGGUUCGCCGUCGCCGAGCUGCAGGAGGGGGACCUCAUGCUCCGGUUUCUCUCGGAAAAGGGCAGGUGGGAGAACGUGGUGCUCUCGCCGUGCCAACUCCCGUCUGCGCGGCGAAUGAAGAUCGACCAGCCGGCGCUGGCGUUCGGCGGUCGCCUGUGGUGGGUCGACGUGACCUGGGGCGCUGUCUCCGCCGACCCCUUCAGCGAUCGGCCGGAGCUCUCCUUCACCGAGCUGCCGAGGGGCAGCGUGCUAGCUGCAAGGAGCCCGCUGCCAGAAGCCGAUGCCGAGGUGUCUUGGCGUGAGUACCGGCGCGUGGAUGCAAGCCAAGGGCGGCUGCGAUACGUCGAGGUCUCUCAAAAGGAACCGUUUCUGCUCAGCUCCUUUGUGCUCGACAACGAUGGUACCGGCUGGACGCUGGAGCACCGGGUGGCCCUGAGCAAGCUCUGGGCGGAUGGAGGCCACCCAUGGCUGCCCUUACCGGCGGGGAAGACGCCACAAAUUGAGCUUCUUGACCCACUUGACGCCAAUGUGGUGUACCUCACGGUUGACAAGAAACACGUUAUCGUCGUGGACAUGAACACGAAGAAGGUGAUUGGGAGUUAUCUGUAUGGAAAUGACUUCUCUGUACCAUGUGUUCUUCCUCCGUGGCUUGGAUCGAGCCGGAUCCCUUCUGCAGGUAAGGACACCGGGAAACACAAGACUCUGUAA